rnacentral:lncRNA from 13 species
AUGCUGUUUCCUCAGGUGGCGGCCGCGUUCUUACGGAAAAUGCAGGACUGCUUCCUCCCACACCCACAGCUACAGGCAGCUCUGAGCACUUUCGCUUUCACCAGAGCAUUCUGUCUGUCGGGAAUUUCUUUCAGUGAAAUUUGUUUCAAUUGUAAUGUUUUUAAACAGAACAAAAACCUAACCAAACAGAAACGCAGAACACAGAUCUCAUGGGCAGCAUGGCCGUGUCCUUUGGUUAAGAACGAGGUACAAGGAGUGACGAGUGGAGGCAGCGUUGGUAAAGACAGCGGAUUGAGAGACUUGUUGAUGAAGCCACCUGCUUGUAUUUCCACGCAGCUCGGUCAUGAAAAGUGCCCAAAGAAAAAGAAAAGCCGUUUUCCAUGAGGCGAGAAUGGCUGAGACCCUGGCCAGGGAGAGACUGGAGAUGGGAGGCGGUUCAUUCUGCCAGAAGACCCCAGGGGGCUUUGCCUCUCCCGGCCGAGCCCCAUUGAAGGUCCUGGGAUCAGCUUCUGUGAUUCUCACCUUGUCUCUGUUUUUCUAGUAGAUGCACCAGAACAUCUGACUCACUUUGUGAAACCAUGCUGUUCUCUUUCAGUUUCCUCUGCAAGGUGUGACUUGAGAAAGCCUUGGAAAAUCUAGUUCAGCCCAAGUGAGCAUCCUUAAAGGCAAAUGGCCACUGGGGAACAAAAUUCAGCCUGACCCAGAAGCACUUCACCAGGCAGCCCCACUGCUCCACAGCAUCCCCAGCGUGGGCCUGUGGUUCAUACCACCUAACAGGUGGUAUUGAAGCCAUAACGAAAAUCCUGGUUUCCAGCCGGGCGCAGAGGUUCACACCUGUAAUCCCAGCACUUUGGGAGGCAGAGGUGGGCAGAUCACGAAGUCAGUAGUUUGAGACCAGCCUGACCAACACGAGGAAACUCUGUCUUUUCUAAAAAUACAAAAAUUAGCCAGGCGUGGUGGUGGGGACAUGUAAUCCCAGCUGCUCAGGAGGUGGAGGCAGAAUGGCUUGAACACGGGAGCUGAGGUCACACCACUGCACACACCAGCCUGGGUGACAGAGUGAGACUCUGUCUCAAAAAAAAAAAAAAAAAAGAAAAUCCUAGUUUCCUGUUGCGCCAUCGCCUCUUGGCGUGAGGACCAAGGAGCACUGGGAAGGUCAGGCAUCCUCUCUCUGUGGGGUACCCUUUCGCCAGUUUGCUUUUACAAGCAAUGUUGAUUUUAUUAUGAGAUAGUUCAAGCUUGCAGAAAAUGAUAUAAAGAAAAACUGUCUACACAUCAUUCAGCUUUAUCAAAUUGUAUCAUUUAGCUAUAUUUGCUUCGUAUAUUUUAAAAAAGAAAACAUUCAUAUUCUUGUCAGCAGAGAAAAAUAAGUAAAAAUAUAAAUAAAUCAAAUAUUGAGUUGAAGCA